rnacentral:rRNA from 1 species
UACGGGGGGGGCAAGCGUUGUUCGGAAUUACUGGGCGUAAAGGGCUUGUAGGUGGCCAACUAAGUCAGACGUGAAAUCCCUCGGCUUAACCGGGGAACUGCGUCUGAUACUGGAUGGCUGGAGUGUGGGAGAGGGAUGCGGAAUUCCGGGUGGAGUGGUGAAAUGCGUAGAGAUCCGGAGGAACACCAGAGGCGAAAGCGGCGCUCUGGGCUGCACCUGACGCUGAACUGCGAAAGCCAGGGGAGCGAACGGG